rnacentral:rRNA from 1 species
GACGAACGCUGGCGGCGUGCUUAACACAUGCAAGUCGAACGGAAAGGCCCUGCUUUUGUGGGGUGCUCGAGUGGCGAACGGGUGAGUAACACGUGAGUAACCUGCCCUUGACUUUGGGAUAACUUCAGGAAACUGGGGCUAAUACCGGAUAGGAGCUCCUGCUGCAUGGUGGGGGUUGGAAAGUUUCGGCGGUUGGGGAUGGACUCGCGGCUUAUCAGCUUGUUGGUGGGGUAGUGGCUUACCAAGGCUUUGACGGGUAGCCGGCCUGAGAGGGUGACCGGCCACAUUGGGACUGAGAUACGGCCCAGACUCCUACGGGAGGAAGCAGUGGGGAAUAUUGAACAAUGGGCGGAAGCCUGAUGCAGCAACGCCGCGUGCGGGAUGACGGCCUUCGGGUUGUAAACAGCUUUCGCCUGUGACGAAGCGUGAGUGAAGGUAAUGGGUAAAGAAGCACCGGCUAACUACGUG